rnacentral:misc_RNA from 1 species
GAUGAAGAACGCAGCGAAAUGCGAUAAGUAAUGUGAAUUGCAGAAUUCAGUGAAUCAUCGAAUCUUUGAACGCAUCUUGCACUCCUUGGUAUUCUGAGGAGCAUGCCUGUUUGAGUGUCAUUAAAUUCUCAACUACACUGACUUUGAAUUGGUGUGGCUUGGAUUUGGGGGGAAAAUUGUUGUGGGCUUUUUGUAUAGUCUGCUCCCCUGAAAUUGAUUAGCGGUACCUUUGUGGAACUGUCUACAGGUGUGAUAAUUAUCUACAUCUUAGACAUCUGCUGGAAUGCUGCUUUCUAAACCUUACUUGUAUUGACAAUCUUGACCUCAAAUCAGGUAGGACUACCCGCUGAACUUAAGCAUAUCAAUAAGCGGAGGA